AUGAACGCUAGCUACAGGCUUAACACAUGCAAGUCGAGGGGCAGCAUGGUCUUAGCUUGCUAAGGCCGAUGGCGACCGGCGCACGGGUGAGUAACACGUAUCCAACCUGCCGUCUACUCUUGGACAGCCUUCUGAAAGGAAGAUUAAUACAAGAUGGCAUCAUGAGUCCGCAUGUUCACAUGAUUAAAGGUAUUCCGGUAGACGAUGGGGAUGCGUUCCAUUAGAUAGUAGGCGGGGUAACGGCCCACCUAGUCUUCGAUGGAUAGGGGUUCUGAGAGGAAGGUCCCCCACAUUGGAACUGAGACACGGUCCAAACUCCUACGGGAGGCAGCAGUGAGGAAUAUUGGUCAAUGGGCGAGAGCCUGAACCAGCCAAGUAGCGUGAAGGAUGACUGCCCUAUGGGUUGUAAACUUCUUUUAUAAAGGAAUAAAGUCGGGUAUGGAUACCCGUUUGCAUGUACUUUAUGAAUAAGGAUCGGCUAACUCCGUGCCAGCAGCCGCGGUAAUACGGAGGAUUCGAGCGUUAUCCGGAUUUAUUGGGUUUAAAGGGAGCGUAGAUGGAUGUUUAAGUCAGUUGUGAAAGUUUGCGGCUCAACCGUAAAAUUGCAGUUGAUACUGGAUAUCUUGAGUGCAGUUGAGGCAGGCGGAAUUCGUGGUGUAGCGGUGAAAUGCUUAGAUAUCACGAAGAACUCCGAUUGCGAAGGCAGCCUGCUAAGCUGCAACUGACAUUGAGGCUCGAAAGUGUGGGUAUCAAACAGGAUUAGAUACCCUGGUAGUCCACACGGUAAACGAUGAAUACUCGCUGUUUGCGAUAUACGGCAAGCGGCCAAGCGAAAGCGUUAAGUAUUCCACCUGGGGAGUACGCCGGCAACGGUGAAACUCAAAGGAAUUGACGGGGGCCCGCACAAGCGGAGGAACAUGUGGUUUAAUUCGAUGAUACGCGAGGAACCUUACCCGGGCUUGAAUUGCAACUGAAUGAUGUGGAGACAUGUCAGCCGCAAGGCAGUUGUGAAGGUGCUGCAUGGUUGUCGUCAGCUCGUGCCGUGAGGUGUCGGCUUAAGUGCCAUAACGAGCGCAACCCUUGUUGUCAGUUACUAACAGGUUCUGCUGAGGACUCUGACAAGACUGCCAUCGUAAGAUGUGAGGAAGGUGGGGAUGACGUCAAAUCAGCACGGCCCUUACGUCCGGGGCUACACACGUGUUACAAUGGGGGGUACAGAGGGCCGCUACCACGCGAGUGGAUGCCAAUCCCCAAAACCUCUCUCAGUUCGGACUGGAGUCUGCAACCCGACUCCACGAAGCUGGAUUCGCUAGUAAUCGCGCAUCAGCCACGGCGCGGUGAAUACGUUCCCGGGCCUUGUACACACCGCCCGUCAAGCCAUGGGAGCCGGGGGUACCUGAAGUGCGUAACCGCGAGGAGCGCCCUAGGGUAAAACUGGUGACUGGGGCU
rnacentral:rRNA from 1 species